CAUAUCAAUAAGCGGAGGAAAAGAAACCAACAGGGAUUACCUCAGUAACGGCGAGUGAAGCGGUAACAGCUCAAAUUUGAAAUCUGGCAGCAAUGCCCGAGUUGUAAUUUGUAGAAGAUGCUUCGGGUGUGGCCCCGGUCUAAGUUCCUUGGAACAGGACGUCAUAGAGGGUGAGAAUCCCGUACGUGACUGGGUGCUUUCGCUCAUGUGAAGCUCUUUCGACGAGUCGAGUUGUUUGGGAAUGCAGCUCAAAAUGGGUGGUAAAUUUCAUCUAAAGCUAAAUAUUGGCCAGAGACCGAUAGCGCACAAGUAGAGUGAUCGAAAGAUGAAAAGCACUUUGGAAAGAGAGUUAAACAGUACGUGAAAUUGUUGAAAGGGAAGCGCUUGCAACCAGACUUGGGCGUGGUCGAUCAUCCGAGGUUUUCCCCGGUGCACUCGAUUGCGUACAGGCCAGCAUCGGUUUCGGUGGUUGGAUAAAGGCCUUGGGAAUGUAGCUCCUCUCGGGGAGUGUUAUAGCCCUUGGUGCAAUGCAGCCUAUCGGGACCGAGGACCGCGCUUCGGCUAGGAUGCUGGCGUAAUGGUUGUAAGCGACCCGUCUUGAAACACGGACCAAGGAGUCUAACAUCUAUGCGAGUGUUUGGGUGUCAAACCCAUACGCGUAAUGAAAGUGAACGGAGGUGAGAACCCUUAAGGGUGCAUCAUCGACCGAUCCUGAUGUCUUCGGAUGGAUUUGAGUACGAGCAUAGCUGUUGGGACCCGAAAGAUGGUGAACUAUGCCUGAAUAGGGUGAAGCCAGAGGAAACUCUGGUGGAGGCUCGCAGCGGUUCUGACGUGCAAAUCGAUCGUCAAAUUUGGGUAUAGGGGCGAAAGACUAAUCGAACCAUCUAGUAGCUGGUUCCUG
rnacentral:rRNA from 1 species